UACGUAGGGGGCUAGCGUUGUCCGGAAUCAUUGGGCGUAAAGCGCGUGUAGGCGGCCAGAUAAGUCCGCUGUGAAAUCUCGAGGCUCAACUUCGAGCUGUCGGUGGAAACUGUCUGGCUAGAGUCCGGAAGAGGAGAAUGGAAUUCCUGGUGUAGCGGUGAAAUGCGCAGAUAUCAGGAAGAACACCCGUGGCGAAGGCGGUUCUCUGGGACGGUACUGACGCUGAGGCGCGACAGCGUGGGGAGCAAACAGG
rnacentral:rRNA from 1 species